UCAGGUCUAGGGGUAUGAUUCUCACUUCGGAUGUGAGAGGUCCUGGGUUCAAAUCUCGGAUGAG